rnacentral:rRNA from 1 species
GCAAGUCGAACGGAAACGACAAGAGCUUGCUCUUGGGCGUCGAGUGGCGGACGGGUGAGUAACGCGUGGGAAUCUACCCAGUAGUGGAGGAUAGCCAGGAGAAAUCCUGAUUAAUACUGCAUACGAUCUACGGAUGAAAGGUGGCCUCUACUUGUAAGCUAUCGCUAUUGGAUGGGCCCGCGUUGGAUUAGCUAGUUGGUGGGGUAAAAGCCUACCAAGGCGACGAUCCAUAGCUGGUUUGAGAGGAUGAUC